AGCGAACGCUGGCGGCAGGCUUAACACAUGCAAGUCGAGCGGGGCGUAGCAAUACGUCAGCGGCAGACGGGUGAGUAACGCGUGGGAACGUACCUUUUGGUUCGGAACAACACAGGGAAACUUGUGCUAAUACCGGAUAAGCCCUUACGGGGAAAGAUUUAUCGCCGAAAGAUCGGCCCGCGUCUGAUUAGCUAGUUGGUGAGGUAACGGCUCACCAAGGCGACGAUCAGUAGCUGGUCUGAGAGGAUGAUCAGCCACAUUGGGACUGAGACACGGCCCAAAACUCCUACGGGAGGCAGCAGUGGGGAAUAUUGGACAAUGGGGGGCAACCCCUGAUCCAGCCAUGCCGCGUGAGUGAUGAAGGCCCAGGGUUGUAAAGCUCUUUUGUGCGGGAAGAUAAUGACGGUA
rnacentral:rRNA from 1 species